UGUAGUUUCCAUGGGAUACGUUUGCGUUGCAACAGGCGAUUUUAUUAUUGCGGUCAUUUCAUUGUGUAAUUGGCGUCAUCGUUAUUAUUUUGUGCAUAGAAAACAUACAAUUUUCACCGUUUCAGAUUCAGAACAGUUUGUCAAACGCAAGUUAAUAUGCAGAGUCAUGUAGAACACAUGCUCAGAAAGCCAGCAAAAUACCGACCUUCAAGACCAAAUGAUUACAUUUACGAUCCUACAUAUCUAUUUUCAAGUCCAAGAGAUUAUCAACGAUGUGUUCUUAAAGCUGCAAAGGAACAAGCUGAAUUUCAACCACAGCCAAAUUACCCAUCUAUGUUCAG